GGGCCCGUAGCUCAGCUUGGCAGAGCGUUCGGCUGAUAACCGAAAGGCCGUGGGUUCGAAUCCCACCGGGCCCA
rnacentral:tRNA from 1 species